AACGCGUGGGAACGUGCCCUUCUCUACGGAAUAGCCUCGGGAAACUGAGAGUAAUACCGUAUACGCCCUUUGGGGGAAAGAUUUAUCGGAGAAGGAUCGGCCCGCGUCUGAUUAGAUAGUUGGUGGGGUAAUGGCCUACCAAGUCUACGAUCAGUAGCUGGUUCUAGAGGAUGAUCAGCAACACUGGGACUGAGACACGGCCCAGGCUCCUACGGGAGGCAGCAGUGGGGAAUCUUAGACAAUGGGCGCAAGCCUGAUCUAGCCGUGCCGCGUGAGUGAUGAAGGCCUUAGGGUCGUAAAGCUCUUUCGCCAGAGAUGAUAAUGACAGUAUCUGGUAAAGAAACCCCGGCUAACUCCGUGCCAGCAGCCGCGGUAAUACAGAGGGGGUUAACGUUGUUCGGAAUUACUGGGCGUAAAGCGCACGUAGGCGGAUCAGAAAGUUGGGGGUGAAAUCCCAGGGCUCAACCCUGGAACGGCCUCCAAAACUCCUGGUCUUGAGUUCGAGAGAGGUAAGUGGAAUUCCGAGUGCAGAGGCGAAAUUCGUAGAUAUUCGGAGGAACACCAGUG
rnacentral:rRNA from 1 species